CUGUAAAGCCAGCCACUCUGAUAGGCCGAGGCAACAUGCGAGCCAUGUGGCGCGAGCGGCGCGAUUCAGCGUGUUUUUCACAUGGUUGGUUUUUCAAGCAGAAAAUAACGGCACAGAUAUUCAGCCUACAUCGCCGUCAUGAUCACUGGUGAACCCAUCUCCUCUAAAUUGAAGGUGCUGUAAGGAGUGAGGUGCCCUUCCCUGAUAGGAGAAAAAAACACCUAAACAAGGUAACGUUACGUGUUGUGAUCUCAUCCUCUUUUCUUUUGAUCAGGCCCCAGUCAAAUAAACAGUAAAACUAAACUAAUUUGGUAUUAACGUCUGUGUUUACGGAUGACUUUGAGAGUAAGACAGUGGUGAAAACGCCAAAGAGAACUGGAACAUGGCAUGUUAUAUUCAUAAAUGUUUGGCCAAGUUUAAAUGUUACUAGGUCCAGUGUUCGAUUCACCAUCAGGUCCUGCACAGAGAUUGUUCGAGGCACACCUUCAGGUCCAGACAUGAUGGGUCACGGCACGUGCGAGGCACACAGUCUUCAAAUCACUGCUAUUACUUUGAAUCUGAAUCAGAAAGAGCUUUAUUAUCUAGUGUGCUUGCACACAUAAGGAAUUUGUUUGUGUGUUGAGGCUUCCAGUGCACAUAUACUAACACAACAGGAAACGUAUUAUAAUUACAAAAUUAUUUUAAUUUCAGGUAUAACCAUAUGGAACUAAUAAAUCCAUGAAGACCGAUCCCGUAGUGAUGCCCCCAGUCCCCCGCCCAGGUCCAGACAUGAUAAAAGAGUACAGCGCAGUGAUCUCAGCACAUGACAGGCACGAUGCAGUGACUGAGACUGGGAGAUGCAGUGACUGAGACUGUGUUCCAGAAAAAUGUCCUGAAACUACUGGUCGACAUCCGCCAUCGCCUGAAGGAAACCAGAAGGGAUCAUGAAAUUUGGUUCCAUAGCCACUGAGGUGUAUGUACAUCAAGGUGAACGUGUGUGAGCACCUCAAGCACGCGUCGCAAAGACUUGGAGGUGGAGGAUUCACUACGCCCCGAUGAGCCUACAGGACUUGAAUUAAGAGUUUUAAAGGGAUAGUUCACUUUAAAAUUAAUUUUUGAUAUUUUUUAGCUUACCUCA